CAACAUUAUCCUAAUAGCAUAAUAUCUUUUUGGGCGGCAUGACAUUUGAAUAAAUGACCUAAAUGUUUUUAUAAGUGUAGUCUCUCGAACAUCAUGAGAGGAGCUGCUCUGUUUCUGCUGAUCGCUGCCUUCAUCGAAGAACGGGAAAUAAAUAAAAAAUAUUUUGUUUUGUCUAUCCAUAUAAAUUAUAUUUACACUGUACAUAUAUAACAUAUAGAAAUGUUAUUUAUAAAAUAUAUUUUGUAAUUUUUAAUGUAAUGUAAAACUUUUUUGAUAUCCACAGAAUCACACUGGAUAAAUAAUUAUGAUUAUGAAUUCAGUUUCAUUUGUCCCCAUGGUCAGUCAAUAUCCUAUAUAAAGGGCCAACAUCAUAAUUAUUAUGAGGACAGAUUGUGGGACAUUGGCUGUAAAAAGGCCUUCAGCUCCGACUCCGAAUGUUUUUGUUCCCCUUACGUGAACUACUUUGAUGAACCAUUCACCUACACCUGUCUGUCAAACUAUGUUCUAACAGGAAUAGGGAGUUUCCAUAGCAACCCACAGGAAGACAGACGAUGGCAAUUUUGAUUGCUGUAAAGGUAGCGACCACUGUAAUGCCAACUGUUAUUGGACUACAUAUGUCAAUUGGUUUGAUGAGGAAUUUCAUUGGAAUGUACCUCACUUUAAUUAUCUAGUGGGUGCUGAAAGCUACCAUCACAAUCAUUAUGAAGAUCGUCGUUGGAGAUACAAGUAAUGUGCAAACAACUGUUGAAAAGUGCUUCUCACAAAGUCAACUCAAUAAUUGAUUUUAUUGAAAUUAAUAAAAAAUGGCUUGAAGAAUAAAGAGGAUUUUCUUAUUUUAUCAAUGCAUUAAAGGGGACAUUUCACAAGACUUUUUUAAAAUGUAAAAUAAAUCAAUUAAGCCCAGAUUAAUAUUGUGUGGAAACGUUAACCAUCUAAGACCUGGAUGUCCACAUACAUUUUGCACCAUAAUACUUAAUUCUGUGUAACUGGAACCUGUUGUGCAUAAAUGUGGACAAUUACACUGCUUCAUGUUCAAAGAAAACUAUUUGGUUAGUAUAUUUAUUGGUUCUUCCUAACCCCAAAAUAGCUGAAAGAAAUCUGAAAAAAAGACAAAGCUCUGGUCUUAGGAGGUUAAUUCUAAGUACUCUUAACAAAAUAGGCUUCAAGAUUGGUGAUGCUGUUUAUUCCAAAUUCCUAAUCUGCCUUUCUUAUGUAACUUCAUAGUUACUGGAUUAUAGCAAGCAUAUUUUGCCUAAUUUUGGAUAAGAGAAGUUAAAGUGUCAUUGUCAAAAUGAGCUAUGUUACAGUUUUUAAAAUGAAUUCUGUGUAAUUAAACCUAAAAAAAAAAAUAGGGCUACUAACCA